GUGGGGAAUAUUGCACAAUGGGCGCAAGCCUGAUGCAGCCAUGCCGCGUGUAUGAAGAAGGCCUUCGGGUUGUAAAGUACUUUCAGCGGGGAGGAAGGCGAUAAGGUUAAUAACCUUGUCGAUUGACGUUACCCGCAGAAGAAGCACCGGCUAACUCCGUGCCAGCAGCCGCGGUAAUACGGAGGGUGCAAGCGUUAAUCGGAAUUACUGGGCGUAAAGCGCACGCAGGCGGUCUGUCAAGUCGGAUGUGAAAUCCCCGGGCUCAACCUGGGAACUGCAUUCGAAACUGGCAGGCUAGAGUCUUGUAGAGGGGGGUAGAAUUCCAGGUGUAGCGGUGAAAUGCGUAGAGAUCUGGAGGAAUACCGGUGGCGAAGGCGGCCCCCUGGACAAAGACUGACGCUCAGGUGCGAAAGCGUGGGGAGCAAACAGGAUUAGAAACCCCUGUAGUCC
rnacentral:rRNA from 1 species